rnacentral:lncRNA from 1 species
AUAACAUAAGAAAACCUAGAUAAAUGAGUAUGGAUAUCACUUUUCAGAUGAAAAACCAAAGUUAUGAUACAUGAAAGAAACAAUUGACUAAUGAGGCUUGAUUAUAAUGAAAAAUUCUUGUUCUGUGAAAAACAAUGCCAAAAGAAUGAGGAGAUGUCACAAACUGGUAGAAAAAAUUUGCAGAUUAUUUUCUAAUGUUAAGGACUAUUGUUUAAUAAAUAUAAUAAAGGCUAUUUUACAAAAUGUACACAUAAUUUGUAAAACUCAAAAAUAAGAAAAUGAAAAACCUAAUUAUGUAUGGGGGGUGGGGGGCGCAAAAUCCUGAAGUGACAUCUUACUGAAAACAAUGCAAAUUGCAUGUAAGCAUAUGGAAAGACGCUUAUCAUAUGCCAUCAAGGAAAUGCAUAUUUAAACAACAAUGAGAUACCAAAACACAUCCAUUAGAAUAAUCAAAAUUCAAAACACAGAAAGCACCAAACGCUGGCAAAGAUGUAGAGCAACAGAAAUUCUCAUUCACUGCUGAUGGGAAUGCAAAACAGUAUAUUUUCACUUUGGAAGACAAUGUGGCAGUUUCUUAGAAAACUAAACACAGUCUUACCAUGCAAUUCAGCUAUUGCACUCUUUGUCAUUUACCCAAAUGAGUUCAAAACGUAUGUUCACACCAAGACUUGCAGGUGAAUAUUUAUAGCAUUUUCACUUAUGAUUUCCAAGACCUGGAAUCAAACAACAUAUUCUUCAGAAGGUGAAUCAACAAAUAAACUGUGCUAUAUCCAAUGAAAUAUUCAGUGCUAAAAAGAAAUGAAUUAUGAUAUCGAGCUAUGAAAUGACACGAAGAAAACUUAAAUGUAUAUUACUAAGUAAAAGAAGCCAAUCUGAAAAGGCUACAUACUGUAUGGUUCCAACUUUAUAACAUCCUGGAAAAGGUAAAGUAUGAAGUGAAAUCACAAGGCAGGCUGUGAAAAAACAAAAAGGCUGGAUGUGCAGAGGCCUGCAGAGGACAGAAGGCCCUUCCAGUGCCUAGGCGUUUAUCCAGGAAGGACUGUUAGGUGUCAUAGGUCAUAAAUGAAGAAUAUGUAUUAAAAUCACUGUAGCCAAAAUGUUAUAUUGUGAAGUGAGUCAUUUUAUUACAAAUGUUGCCCCCUCAAUGUUCAACUCUGUAGCUUGAUGUGGAUAAAAUGUCUUUUUCUCCUUGAGAUUUUUGUGCUUAUGCAUUCUGGAGAACUGAUAAAAUCAGAGUCCUCAGAAAAAUAGCGUAUCUUGACAACCACUCAAGUUGUUUCAUUUCUCUAUUGUAUCUGUGUAUAUAUGUUUUUAAAAUAAUCAUUAAAUCCUGUAAUACUGCUAUUUUAUUGAAGAUUGGAGAUAAAACUUAGAAAUAUAUUCCUAAUGAACAGAGAUUCUAAAAUGCCAGUUAACUUACUUACCAUGUCAAAGCAACUAAGCAAAAGGAAAUAAAAACCUGCUUUGUUUUUCCAUCACCCACAUAUCCGUCCUCCUUCUCCACCAUCAUUUAAAGUCUGUUUCUGUUCACUUUGACAUAGAAGCAGGAGUGAGCAAUAUGCCAUGUUAUUAAUGUGUUUACAAACUAUUUUAUAAUUAGUAAUAGUUUCAUAUCUAAUUUUCUAAAAUACAUAUUUCCUUAUUUUUAUCUUAGAAACAAAGUUAUUUCUUCCAGAAAAUAGAAAUGUUCUAUGUAAACAUUUAAACUUUCUCAUUAAAUUAUAUAUCAGUCUUCUCAAAAUUGAACUUUAUUUAAU